rnacentral:lncRNA from 1 species
AGGAAUGACAAUAACACCUGCCUGACAGGAUUGUCAAGAGGAUCAAAUGAGGUAGUGUGAAAGUGCAAAAAAAAAAAAAAAGAAGAAGGCAGUUGCCCUAAUUAUUAGUGCUACGUAUCUAAUUAUUGUCUUAAUUACAAUGGAGCACGGGCUUGGGUUCGAGGACGCAGAAGGCUUGGCCCUGCGCACAAAGAUCUUGUGCACAGAAGCAAAUGACUGCGGCCGUCAGCGCUCACAAACAGCCCCAGGAGCUCCAAGCCUCUUGGGAGAAGUCAGUGCUUUCCAAGCGGCGCUGCAUCACGGUGGCGGGCUGAGCGCCCCUCCAUCAGUCAGAUCCCUGCGACCGGAGGAAAGCGGGAGAAGAGGGCGCUGGCAGUGUCCUUCGGCCGGCGGGGAAGUGGCUGGACCCCCGCACGGCCGGCGGCACUGGCUCCCCAGCUGACGCCCCAGCAAACCGCGGGGUUGGGGGGAGGAACUCGGCCGCAUCCGCACGUGGAGGUCAGCCGAGUGGGACUUCAGAACGAGCAGAUUCGAAUCUGUCGGCUAGGAAUCUCUGUGACUGGGCUCCCGCCUUCUCUCCAUGACUUUUGAUUUUCCGAGCACCUCCCAGCUGCCUGAACUUGUUUUCCCACCUGUAAUAAAUAGUUGUUAAAAUUACAUGAAAAUAUAGUAAAGAACUUGCUAAUUAUUCAAUAAAUAGCAGCUGUUAUUGCCACCGUCAUAGUCAGCAGCACUGCCGCAUCAUCUGUGGAUGGCCGAGUCAGCCCUGCCCCAUCCCGCGCCAGCCCACACCACCCAGCCGAGUCCCAGGCUCUCUAGCUCCACCGUCUGGGAGGGGACUGCCGUGAGCAUUUCUGCGUGAGAAACCAGGAGCCGGGGUGCCAGGGGUCAGAACCGGCGGCAGCUUUCAUGUCAUAGUUCCCACAUCCUUCUUCCCCUUGCUCCUCAUGCUCCAUGCUGAUCCUUCAAAGAACUGAAUUUCUGCGGUUUCUGGGCCGAGCACUCUCGUCCCAACGAGGACUCCAGGCACUGGCCGGUCCCAACCCAGGCAACCUGCGUGGCUCUGCUUCCGGCAUCUCAGUGGUUCUCGAGAGGGAGAUGCUAUCCUCCUACGGCAAUUGGAACACGGCGGGGGCAUUUUCAUCACAGCGAAGGGGUGCCCUACUGGUACUGCGUGGGAUUGGCCAGUGAUGGAAUAGGCCUGCACGACAAAGAAUUGUCUUGCAUAACUUUCAAAUGUCCCGCAGGACGUUCAUGAGCUAGAAGAAUCCAGGCAGCACCUCCAACACCCUACCUGGAGUUCUCCUUAGAAAGAUCAUCCAGAUUACUAAGUAUCCUUUAUAUUUUAUUUAUUUAUUUAUUGAGAUAUACUUGACAUACAACACUAUUUUAGUUUCAGG